AAUGUUCAAUGAUAUUCUCGACGACAACGACAACAAUUCACGAAUUAUCCUCCAUCCUUUCUUUCCUACUUUUGCUUGCCCAAUCAUUAAAUGGUUACCAAUUCGGCGCUAUGUCGGCACCCCAGCCCACCCUCCAGCUGGUUCUCCAUCCCCAAAAGAGGCUGUGCCCCAACCCCAGUUCUCCAUUAGAUCAAAGAAAUUCGCGCUCCCCUGUUUACCUACCAAGGUCCUCAAACUACCUGGUAUAGGGAUUUCGAGAUUCACGUAGCGUGGGGCCUUGGCCCAUUGACGCUGUGCAUUUGUCUCCCUGUUUCCCUUCACCAUGUCUGGCGUUCCACCAACGCUCAAUGAUGGAGGUGAUGAAAUGGAUGGUGGAGGGCCUAGUCCAAGAGGGCGCGAUAAGGGAUGAAACGGAUCUCUACCAAGAUAAACACCCGACCCGGCAUAAUCCAAGGUCACCCUAAACACUGCCCAGAGGAGUACUAUUUCCAUGAGCACCCACCAUACCCAGCGACUCCAGCGUACAGCUUUGUUCAUCCCUUUGCCUAAAGUCUGUGAUGUCCUUAACGCCAGGCUAGCGGGGAAAUCUGAUGAGGCGUGUUGAUUGUGUUGGCGAAGAUGUGGGUGAGAAGAAGCGGAGACGGAAGAGAGAGCAUCAAGCCAUGAUUGCUGGGCAGUUUGGAGUUUGGAAAAAGCGGUUUGAGUGUGGGUCUGGGCAGAGGUGAGCUGCGGAAGAUGGGAAUUGUAUGUCGUCGACCGCAUAGGGAUGGGUAUCCGCCUAUUCACAGCUCUAUCAGCUCUUAUCAUCCUGAUACGUGCAUAAGACACGUGAUUUCCCGAUAUGAAAGGGAUAUGGGUACAAACUUACGAAGUAACACUUCUAGCCAAUUUGGCCGUCCAGCUCAUAUCUCCAACAUUUUCGUCCAUUUUCCCCUCUCUCGUCCGCCUCUCAGGACUCGUUCGAUUCUUUGAAUUCUUUGGACUUUUGGGACUUUUAGGGCUUUUGCGCCGCGGAGAUAAAUUCAAAGUCAGGAUCGACACAUCACCUCCCUCCUCUUCCCUUUUCCCUUUUUUAUCCUCUUCAUCCUCUCUUUCAUAAUCCUCUCUAUGCAUCGUAGCUUCAUAUCUCAAGGGGGAAAAUCUCACUCUCCCUGUCCUACUCCCGCUCUCACUCGCUAUCUGAUCUUGAGGGCGUGGUGACUCAAGUUCGCGCUGUAGACGUUGCGGAAAGGGAAUAAUGUUCCAUGCCCCUGGGGGACGAGGCGUUGGACCGAGGGCAGGAGACUGUGAAUGUGGAUGAGAGGGGGUCGCAAGUUGCUUCUGUAUUGGAUUGGCAUUCGACAGUGAAGAGGGAAGCGGGGUAGGGAAUUUGGGAGUUUGUGUCGGGGAUCGUGAUUGCGACAACGAUUGUGAUGAUGAUACUGUUUGUGGUUGCCGUUUCCUAGGCGAAGGGGUUCUCGAAUAGGGUUUGGUACCUGUCUGAAAAGUGGUCGGAGGUGUACGUGCACGACUCUGACGAAGGGGCAGGCGGAUGGGGGAGGGAGUAUGGCGAUGGUCCGUGGGCAGGGGGGUGCCGGCGCGUUGAGCGGAAGAAUGAUAAUUUGAUUGUUCCCUCUCUUCUAUUGCACCUCUUCCGCCUCCCAAUACCUCUUCUAAGAAUUCCUCUUCUGGAGCAUCGUGUUUCACUUCUUCAUCCUUCAUCUGGUACUCUUUCCUUGUCUCCUUGUCUUCACCUUCGCUCAAACGUAGAGACAACGACCGGAAAUAUGACUUGGUCCUUGAUGCUGAUCCCAGGGCAUUAUCCCCACCACCAACCAUCGGCACCUUUCCCUUCCUCUCCCCAUUAAACAUCCUCGCCCGUCUUGACGAGUAUGUAUCAACUCCUUCCUCUUCCUCACUCCCGCUUAUGGAGUGAGAAGGAAGUUCGGGCAGGGCUGGCGGAGAAGGGGAGCGGGUUGGAAGGCGUCUUGAUGGUGGGGAUGGGUGGGAUCUAGAAGUAGCUUGAUACAAACUUUCACGUGUUUGGAAAUGUGUGUGUGGGCUUUCCUUUUUAGACGGAUCGGGUCUGGCAGUCCCUCUCCUGUCCCUGUCACCAUUCCUAUCAACACCAUCUUCAUAUCUGAUCUCCUCCUCAUCACCCUCAACAGUACUCUCUUCCCAUCCCACAGCAGAGACGCCUUCAUCCAAGUCUAACUCCAUCUCUGCUCUGACUUCCAAUCCUUUGAGAUGCAUCGCAAAUUCAUCGUGGGUUGAUGGGAGGGGAUCUAUACUUGAUCGGCGCGGAGUGGGAGGUAUAGAUGGUGAGCGGCGUUGACGUUUGGGUUCAAGCGAGCGAGGCGGGGUUGGGUAACGUUGCGGUGAAGCGGCGGACGGUAGUGCACUUGAUGGUGGGGAGGCAUGAGACGGGGAAUAGGUUGUACGGUAAUGGCGUCUAGAUGCA
rnacentral:sRNA from 1 species